rnacentral:lncRNA from 1 species
GCUAGGGAUGUACAGUUUUCUCUACAGUUUGGUAUGAAUUCCAGCCAAAUCAAAUCUAUAGUCUACACAAAUGUGGCAUUUAACAGGAUAGCCCAUAGUCGGAAUAUAUCAAACACACGCCCACAGAUGUGCAGCUAAAAGAAUGGAAAAGUGGAACCCAGAGAGCAGCAGCAAACCCCACGAGAUGGUCCUUCGUCCUCGUAAUAUGCUUGAUGGUUGCGCCCAAGUGACAUUAAAUGGCUGCCGCCACAUCUUCGGUUUGUUGCUGGGGCACCCCUAGCUCUCCUUUUGUAUCUCUUUCUUUGCGUGAGUGUGUGUGUGUGCUGGGGGCAUUCAUAAAAGUGGGACUCAAGUGGCAGCAACAGCAGCUUUAAGCUGCCAAUGCACUUUAAAGCUUUGCUUUUCCCAUCCGGAUUGGUUUGUCCAUAAAAUAUUUAUAUUUGCAGCCAUUUACGCAGUUUUUCCAUCCAUUGGCCAUCAAAAUAAAUUGAAGUAAUGCCCUGCCCGGUAGUUCGAAUGCGAAAACUAAAUGGGAUUAAAGAUUCCGAUUGCCGAUUGCCCUAGCUUGGCUGUCUGCUUUAUUUGUUUAUUUGAUUUGUCUUUAUGUGAGGUGUGUGUGUGGAGGGACAUUGACAUCAAGAAGUUCAAGUUUUCCUCUCUUCGUCGGCGUAAUGAAAUCUGGGCUCUUACUUGUGCUUGAUUUGGUUGCCAGGAAAUAAAACGAAUAAAAAGUAAA